GCCCCGGCCAGCCCACCCCCUACGCCGUUGGAGGAGCCUUCGUGGACGCGGAGACCCGUCUUCUUGCGAGGCUCGGCGGCCCUGACCAGACCAGCCCCCACCCCGGCGCAGGAGGCAAGGCCAGAAGAAGUCAGCAUUGAACCACCCUACGAAUCCCCACCGUCUGGGUCUGGGUCAGACGUCGUGGAACAAAUAGUGCAAUACUGCAGGCGAAGGGUGGCCAGCCCAGACCGGCACGUACCGCUUCCCGAUUUUAUGAUAUCCAGAGUGCUGGUUGAUAGAGGGCUCCCACUUCCGCACGGUCCUAGUGCCCUGGUCCGAGUGGAGGAAUGGCUCAAAGUCCAAGACAGUUGGAAAGCCACAAUGAGAGGCGCACUAUUUCAGCAUGUCACUGAGCCAACUGAACCUGUGGAACAGUCCGAGCAUGCCGUUGAGCUGACCUCAACCCCGGUGCAGCAGGAGCCUUCGUGGACGCGGAGACCCGUCUUCUUGCGAGGCUCGGCGGCCCUGACCAGCCCAGCCCCCACCCCGGCGCAGGAGCUACCA